rfam:Triticum urartu cultivar G1812 contig801657, whole genome shotgun sequence.
AUGGAUAUAGGUUAAUGGUAGACUUAUCGGUUUCCACUCGAGGUGUGUCAGUUCGAUUCUGGCUAUCCAUA